AUUGGUAAUGUCAGUGUUUGGCAAUUUCUAACAUCUUUGAAGUUUACUAUUUUUUUUUAAAUUUUCCUCUCUCUAUUUAACAAAAAAUUUAUGCCUACUGAGUCAGUUUCUUAUGUGAUUGCUUGCUUGCUGAGUUUUGGUUUUACAGGUUGUAAUGGUUAUUGUUGUGAUUGGUCAAAGGACGAUUUAGUUUGAAGGAUUUAGUUUGUGUUGUUUUGUGUUUGUUGUUUUGCACAAUGUGAUUAUUUAGUUGCUGAGAUAAUUCAGAUAUGGAUUUCGAUCUAGAUGAGAUAUUACCUAGAUUGAAUAUAAUUGAUAUAAAAGAGGUUUUUCGUAGUGAUAAUUAACAGAAUAAGAGGAGCAAUAUUAUAGAUCUCAGUUAGGUUUUUCUCCCCUGUUCUAGGUCAGUUACAUCUUAUGUAGCAGUUCGAGUUGAAGCAACAAACAGGAAAAAUUAUAAGAUUUUGAAAGCUAUCAAGAACAACUAUGGAUCAAGCUAAGAAGAUAACCAUAAACUAAAACAUCAGUUUGUACGGUUCUGUGUGCAAGCUUCCUUCAUCAUGAGGAGGAGUAUGAGUUGACAUAGUAGUUAACAGUUGUAAUAUUAGUUAGUUAACAGUAUAGUUAGUUAAAUAUUAUGUGAUGAAGCACGAAAUCUGCUACCAGGGGCUCGCGGUGGUGCGAGGAGGGCCGGAGGCUCUGGAGUCCACGGCGCGUGCUCUACGUCAAAUCCCGUUAGAGGAGAAUAGGUGAUUUAGGUGUGGAAAUCGGCGAUUCUCUCUGGUAUGCUCUAGUUUGGUUGGAACUUGUGUUGUGCCUUUGAGUGGCCCCUUGGGACCCUUUUUAUAGGGUCUCGGAGGCGCACUCAGCGGUGGGUAUCGCGCCUUUUUCCAUAACGUGGCGCAUUAAUGACCCAUUAUAACGCAGGCUGGUGGCGAGUAACGACCGUAAAUCGACGAUUUAGGUAGAGAAUCGCAUAUUUAGGGGCAAACUCGCCGAGUUCUAAAGGGCGAGAUCUGCAAGAUUAUCUCGGCCUCAACUCGGAUAUUUACGGGUCAACUCGGCGAUUUGACGAUGACCUUUGUUCCACACCGUGGGAGCCUUCCGGGGGACCGACAUAUAGCGACGAAACUCUAGUCCUUGUUGAAGGGCGUUGCUGGGAGUAACUGACGUAAUCAGACAUGUCUCACCAGUACUUCGCCCUGAAGAGAGCACAAGAAACAUGCGGAUAUCGCCAGUAUCCCCCCCAAGCAAGGUUGUGUGUAACCCGCAUCAAGGCCAAAGCGACAAGAUGGAAUCGAAUCAUUGUAACCACAACGACACAAUAAUUCUGGAUCCAUUAAGGCCAAAGCGACUCUAUUUAUAGCCUUCUAUGGAUGGCCUUCUAUGGAUG
rnacentral:lncRNA from 1 species